rnacentral:rRNA from 1 species
UACGUAGGGUGCAAGCGUUAAUCGGAAUUACUGGGCGUAAAGCGUGCGCAGGCGGUUGUGCAAGACAGAUGUGAAAUCCCCGGGCUUAACCUGGGAAUUGCAUUUGUGACUACAUCGCUGGAGUGCGGCAGAGGGGGAUGGAAUUCCGCGUGUAGCAGUGAAAUGCGUAGAUAUGCGGAGGAACACCGAUGGCGAAGGCAAUCCCCUGGGCCUGCACUGACGCUCAUGCACGAAAGCGUGGGGAGCAAACAGG